AAGUAUUUGACACUAUGUAUGAGAAAGCAACCACAUAUACAUGGAAAUGGACUCAAAACCCCAUUAUUGACUUUUUCAAUAGCUAACAUUUCUACUGCCAAGCACUGCUGAUCUGUGUCUGUGUGUCUGUGUGUGCCACUGUGUUAAACUGUUCUUCUGAAGACUCAUACUCUAGCAAGAACUACCACAAAGGCAGUUAAAGAGAACUUUGAUAUAGCUUUGAUAAAUUACCUGUCUUUCUGUCUCUCUUUCUGUCUAUGGACAGAUUUUAUCACAAAAGUAUCACAACAGUGCAAGAUGUAGAGACAAAUCUUCACAGGUAUGUAGUUCAACUCACAAAUCAGUCUCAAGGGUUGCAACGACAACAUGUUAAAAGGCUCUGCAGCUGGUGUGAUCACAUCCCAAAUGGCUGUGGUUCUUUUUGACUGCUGCUUUCUGAAGUUAAUGUCAAUGUCAGUGGAUACUUUAGUUUAUCUAUUUUUUUUUUUGUCAAAUCAUUGUAAUCUCCCAUUGUUUUAAAAUUAAGGCCACAUAAUGAAUUCAUAAUGAAGCUCUCAGUGUUUGAAACAUUUUAUUAUUGCAGGUGUUCCAGCAUUACUCAGGUGUCUAUUUUAAAUCCUACCACAUAGUUUGCCACUGAAAUUAUUUCAGGUAUAUUAUGUCAAAUUUGAAUUUGAAUUUCUAGUCUUAUUUGUACACAGAUGUUUCAGAGAAUACAUGGUCAUGACAUUUAACAGGAACAUUAACUUUAUCAAGUUUUACAAAACUAUUUAUUGGUAAAAGGUGUCUAAGCUCUAUAACAAAAAAGACAGAAAGAAAAAGAAAAAACCCAGAUGGUAUAUGUUUUAGUAAAAAAAAAUUAACAAAUAACAAUAAUCACUAUUUUUAUUAUUUAUAUAAUGGACAUUUGACUGGAACGAAAGCAAGAGGAAACCUGGACAGAAAAGAAAAUCUGAGAAAUUAUAUGAUAGGAAUAGUUUAUUCACACACUGACAACCACAGACAAUGAUACUUCAUGGAAAGUGAUGGCAAAAAAAAAAAAAAUUGCUAGUGCUGGUUAGGUUGUUUUUACACUGAUAAAAACAAUGGAAAAAAACCAGCCUUCCUUCAGUCUUAAAUGAAUCAGCAGUUUGAAAAAGAAAAUACAAUUAAAAUAAAAAUAACAAAUUAGUUCAUUCUUGUGAUCUUGAAAUUAAACGUUGUAUUGUUUUAACUUCGGUUCAGAGUCAAAACAUAAUCUGGGCUAUUGUUUUGAAAAUGGAAAGAAAAAAGGAAAAUUUUGAAUUACUCGAUUACCCCAAGGAGGGCACCUUCAACACCCACAUCAACACAGUAGCCUUGUUGCAUGUCCUCAAAACCACAGUCAAAUAUGAGUUCUGUAACACCCCCACAUCAUGGUGGGUACCCUAACUGUGAGGAAAUUUCACACCAGGUAAUUAUCUGCUGUUUUUCUUUGCCUUUGGGAGGAAGGUGGGUGAUGCUGGCUGAGCAGAGAAGGGAG
ensembl:lncRNA